rnacentral:rRNA from 1 species
AAUUGGAGGGCAAGUCUGGUGCCAACAGCCGCGGUAAUUCCAGCUCCAAUAGCGUAUAUUAAAGUUGUUGCAGUUAAAAAGCUCGUAGUUGAAUUUCGGGAUCAAUAUUUCGGUCAUGCCGUUGGUAUGCACUGUUAUCAUUGAUUUCUCACCUUCUAAAGAACCGUAAUGCCAUUAAUUUGGUGUUACGGGGAAUUAGGACUGUUACCUUGAAAAAAUUAGAGUGUUUAAAGCAGGCUCACGCUUGAAUACAUUAGCAUGGAAUAAUGAAAUAGGACAUCCGAUUCUAUUUUGUUGGUUUCUAGGAUCGAUGUAAUGAUUAAUAGGGAUAGUUGGGGGCAUUAGUAUUCAAUUGUCAGAGGUGAAAUUCUUGGAUUUAUUGAAGACUAACUACUGCGAAAGCAUUUGCCAAGGAUGUUUUCAUUAAUCAAGAACGAAAGUUAGGGGAUCGAAGACGAUCAGAUACCGUCGUAGUCUUAACCAUAAACUAUGCCGACUAGGGAUCGGAUGAUGUUAAUUUUUUAAUGACUCAUUCGGCGCCUUACGGGAAACCAAAGUGU